UCAAGUAAGUAAGGGCGUACGGCGGAUGCCUUGGCCAUAUCAGCCGAAGAAGGACGCGAUAAGCUGCGAUAAGCUGCGGUGAGGUGCAAGUAACCUUUGACCCGCAGAUCUCCGAAUGGGGAAACCCGGCAGCAGUAGUGCUGUCAUCCUCUAUGAGGAAGGGCACCCGGUGAACUGAAACAUCUAAGUAGCCGGAGGAAAAGGAAUCAACAGAGAUACCCCUAGUAGCGGCGAGCGAACGGGGCAGAGCCCAAACCGGAAUGGGAAACCAAUCCGGGGUUGUGGACUGCUAUCAAAUGCAUGAGUGAAGCAGAAUGAGCUGGGAAGCUCAGCCAGAGAGAGUGAGAGCCUCGUAGGCGUAAGCAAAUGCAUGGAGCAGGAUCCGGAGUACCACGGGACACGAGAAACCCUGUGGGAAGCUGGGGGGACCACCCUCCAAGGCGAAACACUGAUAUGGACCGAUAGCGCAUAGUACCGUGAGGGAAAGGUGAAAAGAACCCCGGGAGGGGAAUGAAAGAGAACCUGAAACCGUAUGUCUACAAGCAGUCGAAGACCUUUAUAUGGUCGACGGCGUGCCUAUUGAAGAAUGAACCGGCGAGUUACUUCAGCUAGCGAGGUUAAGCAGAAAAUGCGGAGCCGCAGCGAAAGCGAGUCUGAACAGGGCGUAUAGUUAGUUGGAGUAGACCCGAAACCACAGUGAUCUACCCAUGUCCAGGUUGAAGCACAGGUAAAAAUGUGUGGAGGACCGAACCAGUGAGCGUUGAAAAGCUUUUGGAUGAGAUGUGGGUAGGGGUGAAAUGCCAAUCGAACGUGGAGAUAGCUGGUUCUCCCCGAAAUAGCUUUAGGGCUAGCCUCAUGGCGAGAGUACAGGCGGUAGAGCACUGAACGGGGUAGGGGCCUAUCCGGCUACUGAACCUAAUCAAACUGCGAAUGGCUGUACUUAUCCAUGGGAGUCAGACUGUGAGUAAUAAGGCCCAUAGUCAAGAGGGAAACAGCCCAGACCAACAGCUAAGGUCCCCAAUGCCGUACUAAGUGGCGAAGGAUGUGGAAUUUCGAAAACAACCAGGAUGUUGGCUCAGAAGCAGCCACCAUUAAAAGAGUGCGUAAUAGCUCACUGGUCGAGAGACUCUGCGCCGAAGAUGUCCGGGGCUAAAGUACGGAACCGAAGCUUUGGCAAUUAACAUAAGUUAAUUGGGUAGGGGAGCGUUCCUGCAUGGGAGAAGCCUGACCGGAAGGACAGGUGGACAGGCAGGAAGAGAGAAUGCCGGUAUGAGUAGCGAAAAGAAGGGUGAGAAUCCCUUCCACCGAAAGCCUAAGGGUUCCUGGGCAACGAUCGUCGUCCCAGGGUAAGUCGGGACCUAAUCCGAGGCGGAGACGCGUAGGAGAUGGACAACAGGUUGAAAUUCCUGUACUGGCUGAGGCCGUUUGAGCGAAGGAGUGACACAGGAAGGAAGGCGCGCGUGCGAUUGGAAGAGCACGUCCAAGCAGGUAGGUCGGGAGACAGGCAAAUCCGUUUCCCAUAAGGCCGAGAUGCGAUGGGGAGCUUCUGGAGACAGAAGCGAAGGGGCUGGCACUAAACUGUCGAGAAAAGCUUCUAGUGAGGACUCAGGCACCCGUACCGAAACCGACACAGGUAGGCAGGAUGAGAAUUCUAAGGUGCGCGGGAAAACCCUCGUUAAGGAACUCGGCAAAAUAUAUCCGUAACUUCGGGAAAAGGAUAACCCAGCGUACGUGAAGUGCAGAAGCGCAUGGAGCGGAGAUGGGUGGCAGAAGAGAGGCCCAAGCGACUGUUUACCACAAACACAGGCGUCUGCUAAAGCGAAAGCUGAUGUAUAGAUGCUGACACCUGCCCGGUGCUGGAAGGUUAAGAGGAAGUGUUAGCGCAAGCGAAGCAGUGAAUUGAAGCCCCAGUAAACGGCGGCCGUAACUAUAACGGUCCUAAGGUAGCGAAAUUCCUUGUCGGGUAAGUUCC
rnacentral:rRNA from 1 species